UACGGAGGGUGCAAGCGUUAUCCGGAUUCACUGGGCUUAAAGGGUGCGUAGGCGGGCAUGUAAGUCAGUGGUGAAAUCUCCGUGCUUAACAUGGAAACUGCCAUUGAUACUAUGUUUCUUGAAUCUUCCGGAGGUCAGCGGAAUAUGUCAUGUAGCGGUGAAAUGCUUAGAUAUGACAUAGAACACCAAUUGCGAAGGCAGCUGACUACAGGGGCAUUGACACUGAGGCACGAAAGCGUGGGGAUCAAACAGG
rnacentral:rRNA from 1 species